rnacentral:sRNA from 1 species
GCUAUGAGCCUCCGGGCGUCUCAUGACCGCGAUUUCAAGGGCAGCACUCCAUCGCUGCCCUUUCUUUUUGGCAGA